GCGGAUGGAGCUGAAAUCAGUCGAAGAUACCAGCUGGCUGCAACUGUUUAUUAAAAACACAGCACUGUGCAAACACGAAAGUGGACGUAUACGGUGUGACGCCUGCCCGGUGCCGGAAGGUUAAUUGAUGGGGUUAGCGCAAGCGAAGCUCUUGAUCGAAGCCCCGGUAAACGGCGGCCGUAACUAUAACGGUCCUAAGGUAGCGAAAUUCCUUGUCGGGUAAGUUCCGACCUGCACGAAUGGCGUAAUGAUGGCCAGGCUGUCUCCACCCGAGACUCAGUGAAAUUGAACUCGCUGUGAAGAUGCAGUGUACCCGCGGCAAGACGGAAAGACCCCGUGAACCUUUACUAUAGCUUGACACUGAACAUUGAGCCUUGAUGUGUAGGAUAGGUGGGAGGCUUAGAAGUGUGGACGCCAGUCUGCAUGGAGCCGACCUUGAAAUACCACCCUUUAAUGUUUGAUGUUCUAACGUUGACCCGUAAUCCGGGUUGCGGACAGUGUCUGGUGGGUAGUUUGACUGGGGCGGUCUCCUCCUAAAGAGUAACGGAGGAGCACGAAGGUUGGCUAAUCCUGGUCGGACAUCAGGAGGUUAGUGCAAUGGCAUAAGCCAGCUUGACUGCGAGCGUGACGGCGCGAGCAGGUGCGAAAGCAGGUCAUAGUGAUCCGGUGGUUCUGAAUGGAAGGGCCAUCGCUCAACGGAUAAAAGGUACUCCGGGGAUAACAGGCUGAUACCGCCCAAGAGUUCAUAUCGACGGCGGUGUUUGGCACCUCGAUGUCGGCUCAUCACAUCCUGGGGCUGAAGUAGGUCCCAAGGGUAUGGCUGUUCGCCAUUUAAAGUGGUACGCGAGCUGGGUUUAGAACGUCGUGAGACAGUUCGGUCCCUAUCUGCCGUGGGCGCUGGAGAACUGAGGGGGGCUGCUCCUAGUACGAGAGGACCGGAGUGGACGCAUCACUGGUGUUCGGGUUGUCAUGCCAAUGGCACUGCCCGGUAGCUAAAUGCGGAAGAGAUAAGUGCUGAAAGCAUCUAAGCACGAAACUUGCCCCGAGAUGAGUUCUCCCUGACUCCUUGAGAGUCCUGAAGGAACGUUGAAGACGACGACGUUGAUAGGCCGGGUGUGUAAGCGCAGCGAUGCGUUGAGCUAACCGGUACUAAUGAACCGUGAGGCUUAACCUUACAACGCCGAAG
rnacentral:rRNA from 1 species